rnacentral:hammerhead_ribozyme from 1 species
AUCCAGCUGACCAGUCUCAAAUAGGACGAAAUGCCCAUCAAACUGCAU